rnacentral:piRNA from 1 species
CAUACCAAAUGUGCUGGCAAAA